AUGAAUGCUGGCGGCGUGCCUAAUACAUGCAAGUCGAACGGGUUUUAGACCCGUGGCGAACGGGUGAGUAAUACAUAGGAAUCUACCUCGAAGUCGCGACUAACCAGCCGAAAGGUUGGAUAAUGCGCGAUGGUCCCGCACGGGUAAAGUUUUAAACGCUUCGAGAGGAGCCUGUGUCCUAUCAGCUAGUUGGUAAGGUAAAAGCUUACCAAGGCGAUGACGGGUAACCGGUCUGAGAGGAUGACCGGUCACAGUGGGACUGAGACACGGCCCACACUCCUACGGGAGGCAGCAGUAGGGAAUUGUCGGCAAUGGGCGAAAGCCUGACCGCGCGACGCCGCGUGGAGGAAGAAGGCCUUCGGGUUGUAAACUUCUUUUAUGGGGGACGAUUAUGACGGUACCCCACGAAUAAGGGCCUGCUAACUACGUGCCAGCAGCAGCGGUAAUACGUAGGGCCCAAGCAUUAUCCGGAAUUACUGGGCGUAAAGGGUGUGUAGGUGUUCUAACAAGUCGGUCGUUAAAUCCCACAGCCUAACUGUGGGGCUGCGAGCGAUACUGUUAGAAUUGAGUUCUUCAGGGGCAAGCAGAAUUUUUGGAGUAGGGGUGAAAUCCGUUGAUACCAAAAGGAAUACCAAUGGCGAAGGCAGCUUGCUAGGGAGUAACUGACACUGAAACACGAAAGCGUGGGGAGCAAACGGGAUUAGAUACCCCGGUAGUCCACGCUGUAAACGAUGCCAACUAGCAAUGGGGAGAGUCGACCCUCUCUGUUGCGAAGCUAACGCGUCAAGUUGGCCGCCUGGGGAGUACGGUCGCAAGACUAAAACUCAAAGGAAUUGGCGGGGGCUCGCACAAGUGGUGGAACAUGUGGUUUAAUUCGACAAUAACCGAGGAAACCUUAUCCAGGGCUUGACAUCUUGGGAACUCGCUGGAAACAGUGAGGUGCCGCAAGGAGCCCAAAGACAGGUGCUGCACGGUCGUCGUCAGUUCGUGUCGUGAGAUGUGAGGUUAAGUCCUUGAACGAACGCAAACCCUCGUCCUCUGUUGGAUUUCAGAGGAGACCGCCCUGGUAACAGGGAGGAAGGUGGGGAUGACGUCAGAUCCGCGUGGCCUUUAUGCCCUGGGCUACACACGUGCUACAAUGCCGCAGACAAAGGGUUGCCAAGCCGCGAGGCGGAGCUAAUCCCAUCAAAAUGCGGCUCAGUUCGGAUUGCAGUCUGCAACUCGACUGCAUGAAGCCGGAAUCACUAGUAAUCGCAAAUCAGCUAUGUUGCGGUGAAUACGUUCUCGAGCCUUGCACACACCGCCCGUCAAGUUGGCCGAGCUGGUAACACCCGAAGCGUCAUAUAUUAUCGUGGCACUAAGGUGGGAUCAGUAAGGAAAGCU
rnacentral:rRNA from 1 species